rnacentral:rRNA from 1 species
GAUGAACGCUAGCGGCAGGCUUAACACAUGCAAGUCGAGGGGCAGCGUGGAGCAGCAAUGCUCUGACGGCGACCGGCGGAAGGGUGCGUAACACGUGAGCGACUUGCCCGUCACAGGGGGAUAACCGGCGGAAACGGCGACUAAUACCCCAUAUGAUGCGAUGCUGCAUGGCAUUGCAUUGAAAGAUUCAUCGGUGGCGGAUAGGCUCGCGGGACAUUAGCUAGACGGCGGGGCAACGGCCCACCGUGGCGACGAUGUCUAGGGGUUCUGAGAGGAAGGCCCCCCACACUGGGACCUGAGACACGGCCCAGACUCCUACGGGAGGCAGCAGUGAGGAAUAUUCGGUCAAUGGGCGGAAGCCUGAACCAGCCAUGCCGCGUGAAGG